CCUACGGGUGACAGCAGUGAGGAAUAUUGGUCAAUGGGCGCGAGCCUGAACCAGCCAAGUAGCGUGAAGGAUGACUGCCCUACGGGUUGUAAACUUCUUUUAUAAAGGAAUAAAGUGAGGCACGUGUGCCUUUUUGUAUGUACUUUAUGAAUAAGGAUAGGCUAACCCCGCGCCAGCAGCCGCGGUAAUACGGAGGGUCCGCGCGUUACCCGGAUUUAUUGGGUGUAAAGGGAGCGUAGAUGGGUUGGUAAGUCAGUUGUGAAAGUUUGCGGCUCAACCGUAAAAUUGCAAUUGAUACUGGCAGGCUGGAGUACAGUUGAGGUAGGCGGAAUUCGUGGUGUAGCGGUGAAAUGCUUAGAUAUCACGAAGAACUCCGAUUGCGAAGGCAGCUUACUAAACUGCCACUGACAUUGAUGCUCGAAAGUGUGGGUAUCAAACAGGAUUAGAUACCCUUGUAGUC
rnacentral:rRNA from 1 species